rnacentral:rRNA from 1 species
GUGGGGAAUUUUGGACAAUGGGCGCAAGCCUGAUCCAGCAAUGCCGCGUGCAGGAAGAAGGCCUUCGGGUUGUAAACUGCUUUUGUACGGAACGAAACGGUCCUGGUUAAUACCUGGGGCUAAUGACGGUACCGUAAGAAUAAGCACCGGCUAACUACGUGCCAGCAGCCGCGGUAAUACGUAGGGUGCGCGCGUUAAUCGGAAUUACUGGGCGUAAAGCGUGCGCAGGCGGUGCUGUAAGACAGGCGUGAAAUCCCCGGGCUCAACCUGGGAAUUGCGCUUGUGACUGCAGUGCUGGAGUACGGCAGAGGGGGAUGGAAUUCCGCGUGUAGCAGUGAAAUGCGUAGAUAUGCGGAGGAACACCGAUGGCGAAGGCAGUCCCCUGGGCCUGUACUGACGCUCAUGCACGAAAGCGUGGGGAGCAAACAGGAUUAGAAACCCGUGUAGUCC